rnacentral:rRNA from 1 species
UCAUAUGCUUGUCUAAAAGAUUAAGCCAUGCAAGUGCGAGUGAUUCGGUGCAUCCAUCAGUAAAAUGAGGGAAGGCGCUCAGGAUGACUGCGAAAGGCUCAUUAAAACAGUUAUUGGAUCUGGAUGGUCAGAAGAAGACAAGAAGGAUAAGGGUGUGAAAUUGUUGCCCGCACGAGGGAGGGGGAUCUCGAUCAAACAGCGAUCAAAAGCUGGAAUGAAGAAGGGAUUUCUAGAAUUUCAUAGAGAUAUGAGAGGGAGCAUGUGAAUAUUUGACCUAUCAACUGGGGAUGGUAGUAUAGGGGACUACGAUGGUGGUGACGGGUGACGGAGGAUCAGGGUUUGGUACCGGAGAGGGGGCCUGAGAGAUGGCCACCACUUCUAAGGAAGGCAGCAGGCGCGAAAAUUACCCAAUGUUGGAACAGUGAGGUAGUGACAAGGAAUAACUGCCAAAUGGUUAAAUAAUCAUUUGAUGGUAAUGGAAGGAGGAUAGAGAGGUUCUUGAGUAACGAUCAGAGGGAAAGUCUGGUGCCAGCAGCCGCGGUAAUUCCAGCUCUGAAAGCGUAUACUAGAGUUGUUGCGGUUAAAAAGCUCGUAGUUGGGAGAAGGAGACAUUGAGAAAAAUAGAGUGUUUAAGGGUGAAGUGGGAGAGCACAGGACGUCCUGAGGAGAAUUGGUCUUUACGGAUCAACAUUCCAGGGAGAGAAUAGGAACAAUAGAGGAUAUUAGUAUUUUAUAGUUAGAGGUGAAAUUCUAUGAUUUAUGAAAGACUAACAGGGGCGAAAGCAUUUAUCUCUUGUAUGUUUAUUGAUAAAGAACGAAAGUUAGGGGAUCGAAGAUGAUUAGAUACCGUCGUAGUCCUAGACUAUAAACAAUACUAACUAUGGAUUUGGGGGGGCCGAGAGACACUUUCUAUGUGUUUCAAAGGGCGCGUGAGGACAUUGCGAGAAAUCAUUGAGUAUUUGAGUUCCGGGGGGAGUAUGGUUGCAAGACUGAAACUUAAAGGAGUUGACGGAGGGGCACCACAAGGCGUGGAGCUUGCGGCUUAAUUUGCCUCAACACGGAGAAACUUACCAGACCAAGACAUCAUUGAGGAUUGACAGACGAGGAGGUUUUUCGAGAUAGGAUGGGAGGUGGUGCAUGGCCGUUCUUAGUUGGUGGAGUGAUUUGUCAGGUUAAUUCCGAUAACGAACGAGAUUUUAGUGGAAGAGACGUCCAUCGUCUUCAGCAAUGAAGAGGGAGAUGGUUAUUUCAGAUGGAUAGGAAAAUAAACUAUAGGAAGAUUAAAGUGAUAACAGGUCUGUGAUGCCCUUAGAUGGUUUGGGCUGCACGCGUGCUACAAUGAUAGAGACAGAGAUCCACUCUCCCUCCACAAAGAGGAAGAGAUUGACGCAUCGAAGGAUGGGUUGAAAGGAUGGAGAAUCUAUCAUGUUAGGGGAUUAACGAUUGGAAUUAUUCGUUAUGAACACGGAAUGCCUAGUAAGUAUAAGUCAACAGGUUAUAUUGAUUAGGUCCCUGCCUCUUGUACACACCGCCCGUCGCUGCUACCGAUUGAAUAGUAAAUGUGAAAUGGGAGGACUGGCCACUCUUGUUUAUUCAGGAGAGGAAAGGAAAACUAUUGAAUGUUUAUAUUUAGAGGAAGCAAAAGUCGUAACAAGGUUUCC